GUCUACGGCCAUACCACCCUGAACGCGCCCGAUCUCGUCUGAUCUCGGAAGCUAAGCAGGGCCGGGCCUGGUUAGUACUUGGAUGGGAGGUUUGUGCUUGUGCUUGGGCUUCUAGUCC
rnacentral:rRNA from 1 species